CUUAGCGGUAAUCGCAUUUAGCCUUGUGCUUGGCGAUGGUACAUUCAAAUUUCUGCCCUAUCAAUUUGAUGGUAGGAUAGAGGCCUACCAUGGUUUUUACGGGUGACGGAGAAUUAGGGUUCGAUUCCGGGAGAGGGGAGCCUGAGAGAUGGCUACCACUUCUAAGGAAGGCAGCAGGCGCGCAAAAUUACCCAAUCCUGAUACAGGGAGGUAGUGACAAGAAAUAACAAUACAGGUCCCAAUACGGGCCUUGUAAUUGGAAUGAGUACAAUUUAAACCCCUUAAUGAGUAACAAUUGGAGGGCAAGUCUGGUGCCAGCAGCCGCGGUAAUUCCAGCUCCAAUAGCAUAUAUUAAAUUUGUUGCAGUUAAAAAAGCUCGUAGUUGGAUCUCGGAACAGGGAAUAACUGGUCUGCCGGUUGGUAUGUACUGUUGUUCCCGUUCUCUACUGAUGGAAACUUAUCUCUACUCUUAAAUGGAGCGGAGAGUAGAUCAGUAGAAUGAUAUUGUCUUGAACAUUAUCAUUCUAA
rnacentral:rRNA from 1 species